rnacentral:rRNA from 1 species
UACGAAGGGAGCUAGCGUUGUUCGGAAUCACUGGGCGUAAAGCGCACGUAGGCGGACGUGUCAGUCAGGGGUGAAAUCCCGGGGCACAACCUCGGAACUGCCUUUGAUACAGCACGUCUUGAGUCCGGAAGAGGUGGGUGGAAUUCCUAGUGUAGAGGUGAAAUUCGUAGAUAUUAGGAAGAACACCGGUGGCGAAGGCGGCCCACUGGUCCGGUACUGACGCUGCGGUGCGAAAGCGUGGGGAGCAAACAGG